UACGGAGGGGGCUAGCGUUGUUCGGAAUUACUGGGCGUAAAGCGCACGUAGGCGGACUGUUAAGUCGGGGGUGAAAUCCUGGGGCUCAACCUCAGAAUUGCCUCCGAUACUGGCAGUCUCGAGUGCGGGAGAGGUGAGUGGAAUUCCCAGUGUAGAGGUGAAAUUCGUAGAUAUUGGGAAGAACACCAGUGGCGAAGGCGGCUCACUGGCCCGUAACUGACGCUGAGGCGCGACAGCGUGGGGAGCAAACAGG
rnacentral:rRNA from 1 species